rnacentral:tRNA from 1 species
GGCCACUAGUUUAACAAAAACUAUUAAUUUCGACUUAAUAAAUUCUGCGAAGUGCAGAGUCGCCA